UUCCUUCUUUCUCUCUCUCUCCGCUGCUCCAGCCUAGCUCCGUCGCGAUUCCAGCCGUCGCCGACCACAAGCCGCCGCCUCACCAGUCUAAAAUGGAUCAUCUCCACCCUUAUUUCCAAACCCGACCCUCAAAUCCGAAUGGCAUCCACACAAGGAAGAGAUCGAAGCGGAAGAACACAAUUGUGUUCAUCAGAAUCUGAAGAAUUCCGGCAAGCUCAGGCAGCGAUGCGACCCUCUAAGGCCAUGUUUUCCGGUAAGUGGCUGCAGCUGAAGCCGAUAAGGCUUCCCGGUGACUCUCAUCUCCUUCCCGAUGACCUGUUGAGCAUCAAGAGGCCAAGGCGAACGUGUGUGGAGAUUUGAGGUGUUGCUGCUGCUCUGUCGAGCAAAACCCGAACCUAGUUUCUGACGAGAAGCUGCUGCCGACAAGGAGGAGCUGCUGGACUCAUAAUUAGGGGGUAGAUUGAAGGUAAUCUUCGUGUUUUAGCUGCUGUGAAGUUCUGUGUUGUUGUUGGUUGUUGAGGUGUUGAUCCGGUUGUUUUGGUUGUUGUUGUCGAGAACUUGGUGCUUUGAAGAUUGCAGGGAGGUCAUGGCCAAUUUCUGGCAAAGGGCCGGAUUCCGGUACAAUAUUCUGG